rnacentral:rRNA from 1 species
UACGUAGGGUGCAAGCGUUGUCCGGAAUUAUUGGGCGUAAAGAGCUCGUAGGCGGUCCGUCACGUCGGGCGUGAAAACCCAGGGCUCAACCCUGGGCCUGCGUUCGAUACGGGCGGACUAGAGUUCGGUAGGGGAGACUGGAAUUCCUGGUGUAGCGGUGGAAUGCGCAGAGAUGUGGAGGAACACCGAUGGCGAAGGCAGCCUCCUGGGCCAGCACUGACGCUCAUGCACGAAAGCGUGGGGAGCAAACAGG